rnacentral:rRNA from 1 species
GACGAACGCUGGCGGCGUGCCUAAUACAUGCCAGUUGAGCGCUGAAGGUUGGUACUUGUACCGACUGGAUGAGCAGCGAACGGGUGAGUAACGCGUGGGGAAUCUGCCUUUGAGCGGGGGACAACAUUUGGAAACGAAUGCUAAUACCGCAUAAAAACUUUAAACACAAGUUUUAAGUUUGAAAGAUGCAAUUGCAUCACUCAAAGAUGAUCCCGCGUUGUAUUAGCUAGUUGGUGAGGUAAAGGCUCACCAAGGCGAUGAUACAUAGCCGACCUGAGAGGGUGAUCGGCCACAUUGGGACUGAGACACGGCCCAAACUCCUACGGGAGGCAGCAGUAGGGAAUCUUCGGCAAUGGACGAAAGUCUGACCGAGCAACGCCGCGUGAGUGAAGAAGGGUUUCGGAUCGUAAAACUCUGUUGGUAGAGAAGAACGUUGGUGAGAGUGGAAAGCUCAUCAAGUGACGGUAACUACCCAGAAAGGGACGGCUAACUACGUG